GAUAUUUGUGGCAGGCAGAGAGCUGAAGUAUGGUUAUUAUCAGAGAGAUGAAGAUUGGUUAUUAUUGGAGAAUGGGUUUAGAUAAUCCACAUUUUUUCCAUGAGUCAUUCUUUAUUUUAAAUUUUGUGCUUUUGAGUACAUGACAUAUAAAAUUUUGUGCUUUGAGUACAUGACAUAUAAAUUGAACUUGAGCUUGCUUUUUUUUGACCAAUGAAUUUGCUUUUUCUGCCGUUUGGUUUGUCAAAAUAAUAACUUUGAUUUGCUGUUGCCUAGUAAAUUCUUUUUGUUUCAAUCUUUAUUGAUUUUGAGAGCAUAUAUUUCUUGAUUUUUAUCCUCCUAAAGGUUUCUUUUGAUUUGCUCCUUGAUGGAUGAACUUCAGUGUUUGCAGUUCUAUAUUCUUUGACUUGCUUCUAUAAUCUAGAUAUCUAGCGAUUUACAUAGUAACGUGAGUUUCUCAGAUCUGUUAUCACACUUAGAAUGACUCUUACUUUACGAAAGGUUAUCAAGAAUUAUUUGUAUAAUUUUUAUAAUUCAUCAUUUGAUAAUCGAGAGAUCCUUUAUCCUUUUUGCAGCGAGAUAUCCUUUCCUCUUUCCAGCCAGCUGUGAGAUCCUGAUACAGUGGACAAGAAUGGAGAAAUUGAAUUUUGAAUAUAUAUUGUUUUUCUGAAGUGUGGUUUGAUUUCUCAAACUAAUAACUUUCUUCAUAGCAUGGAGCAUAGCAUUUUGAUUUGGUGAUUAUCUAUUAAAAUUGCCACAAAUUUGUGGGGUUCACUUUGUAACUAUGAUUCCAGAGAUAGAUAAAAUUCCAGAGAAUGGUUCCAGAUAGAUAAAUAAAAUUCCUUCAAUGAAUCGUUCUUAUUUAUUUUAAUUUAUGGGAUUCAAUUACUAGACAUAAAUUGAAUUGUGUACAUGUUUUUCUGCAGUGUGAAAAAUUGCGACAACUUUGUGGGGUUCACUUUGUAACUAUGAUUCCAGGGAUCAGUGGCUUGGUUUGAAGAAAUCUUUUUGUUGUUUUUUGUUUAUUUUCUACAACUAUUUGUUGCGGCGUAAUAUUUCUGCACAUGUAUCAUCUGUGGUAUUCGCAGGGUCUGUGGUAUACAUGGGUUUGAUCUGCAACAGAGGGCUCCUUUCUGAAUCACACCGCACCUUGUUAAUUUUUCUGUUUGGAGUGGAGAAGUAGGAGAUGAGUGCCUCUUCUUGUACUAUGUGUCUUCUAUCAAGAAAUUUAAAUGCUACUUGGUCCUUUCUCAUUCAUCCUUGUGAUAUAAUUGGUCCUUUUUACAUAUAUCUGUUUCUGUUCCUGAAUAGUUGUCCUUGAAUCGUGUUGCUUAAUCUCAUAUUGUAGCCAAUCAAGAAUCAAAAUUUUACACGAUAAAACUUCUCAUCAAUCUUCUUUUACUUAUCAGUAAUCAAGAAUUAUUUGUAUAAAUUUAUUGUUAUAAUUCUUCUGUUAGAUAAUAGAUAAUUCAGACGUGCCUUGUCGGUUUUGCAGCGAGCUGAAGUCCAAAUAGCAAUUCUUGAUUGAAUGGAUAAGAACAGAGAACAAUCAGAUAGAUAAAUUGAAUUUCUUCAAUGAACAAUCUUUUAUAAUUUUUAUUUCUUGGCUUUGAUGCAUAAUAAGUGAAUUGAACUUUGAAUGUGUUUUCCGCAGCUUGUCUUUCUUCAUAGCAUGGAGCCUCGAGAUUUGGUUUGGCGAUCUUUAGUAAAACAUUUGUUUUAAUCUUUCUUUAUUAAUUCUUAUAUCAUAUAUAUUUCUUGAUUUGGUAAUUUAGUCUUUGGUUCUGCAUGAGAAGAUGUGAUUUUAAUUUUUCGAUUCUAAUGUUUGCUUGUUCAUGUGUUCAAUUUCUUUUGUUUCUUGAUUUCUUGAUCUGUUGGCCAGGUUGUUUUUUCCAUGAUUGCUUAAUUUCAGGGUUCCUAUAAACGAGAAUAGGAGAUUGUUAGUGAUAUGCUUUUUUCAUAUUGUAGAUAUCAAGAAAUUCACCCAAUUACACUUCUCUUGACUUGUCUUUUAAUUGAAAUACUCUUUUUAUCCAUUUUGCAGAGAGCUGAGAAGUCCUCUAUUCUAGCAACAGAUAAGAACGGAGAAUGACAUAUACGAAUUGAACUUUUUUCAUUGAGUUCUUCAUUUUUAUCGAGUUGUUCAUUCAAUUUUUUCAUUGAGUUGUUCUUCAUUUUUAUUUCUUGGCUCGACAUAUACGAAUUGAAGUUUGAUGUUUUCUCUGCAGCGUGAUUUGUCAAAUUAAUAAAAUUCUACAUAGCAUGGAGCCUAUCAUUUUUGGUUUGGUGAUAUCUAUUAAAUUUUUUUUUUUUUUUAAAAAUUUCUUCAUCCACUCUGAGAGUAUAUAUAUGUUGAUUUGUUAUUUACUCUUUGGUGUUUCAGGAGAAGUAGUCAGUGAACAUAUGAUUUCUUCAGGUUCUAUAUCUUUCUCUUCUGUGAUUUUCAUGUGUUGCGUUCAUAUUCUUUUCUUGUUGAUUAUUUCGUUCUCUUAAUUCUGGAGUUCUCAUGUGAAUUUUCUGUUAUAAGGCGUUUCUAAUUGAGUAUAAGAAAAUGGUAAUGUUUUGCGAAACUUGAUACAUGACUGUUUUCUCUCGUGGAGUUUGUUUUGAAGCUAUAACUUGCUAUGUAGUAUCAAGCAAUCAGGUUCAUUUUGGCACAAUCUUCUUGAUUGUGAAUCAUUUUACUCCUUUACACCUUCGGUUUUCUUACAUUUAGUUUUUUGAUAAUGUAAUUGACAAUAAUUAUCCACGAUUCUGGACAUAUGAUGUUCACACUGUUAUCACAUUUCUGUUGACUCUUAUUUUACGGCAAAUUUGUUUUAAUGAAUCAUCAUCUCUACAUUCUGUGUUGUAUAUUAUCUACUGGUGCUAGGCUAUAAUUUGGUCAUCUCUACUAAGGCUCUUUACAUUUCAGUCUUUGUUUGAUAAUAAUCAGUAUCUACUUUUGUCAAUUUCUUUGAGUUUUUUGUGUGGGUUUGAGUGUUUGACACGGGAUAUUUGUGGCAGGCAGAGAGCUGAACUAUGGUUAUUAUUGGAGAAUGCAUUCAGAUUAUCCACAUUUUUUCAACGAGUCAUUCUUCAUUUUAAAUUUUGUGCUUCGAUUACAUGACCUAUUACAAUGAGUCAUUCUUUAUUUUAAAUUUUGUGCUUCGAGUACAUGACAUAUAAAUUGAACUUGAGCUUGCUUUUUUUUGACCAAUGAAUAUGCUUUUUCUGCAGCUUGGUUUGUCAAAAUAAUAUCUUCUGUCAACACAUGGAGACUCAAGUUUUGAUUUGCUGUUGCCUAGUAAAUUCUUUUUGUUUAUUGAUUUUUUUUUGACAAGCAAUCUUUAUUAAUUUUGAGAGCAUAUAUUUCUUGAUUUAUGAUCUACUCUUCGGUGCUGUCAGUGUUUGCGGUUCUACUUUCCUUGAUCUGCUUCAAUAAUCUAGAUAGCUAGGGAUUUAUAUAGUAACACGAGUUUCUCAGAUCUGUUGUCACACUUCGANNNNNNNNNNNNNNNNNNNNAUCAUUUGAUAGUCGAGAGAUCCUUUAUCCUUUUUGCAUCGAGGGAUCCUUUCCUCUUUCCAGCUAGCUGAGAGAUCCUGAUACAAUGGACAAAAUGGAGAAUGGCUCCACAUAGAUAUAUCAAAUUUCUUAAAUCAGUCGUUUUAUUUAUUUGAAUUUUUGGGAUUUUAUUGCAAGACAUACAUAUUGAAUUUUGAACAUAUUGUUUUUCUGCAGUGAGGUUUGUCAAACUAAUUACUCUCUUCAUAGCAUGGAGCAUAGCAUUUUGAUUUGGUGAUAUCUAUUAAAUUUUUUUCAUUUUCAAACUUUCAAGUAAUUUGUGAACACACAAUUUCUUGAUUUCUUAUGGUUAUAUUUAUCUCCCUCUUACUAAUGCUGAAUUGAAACAUGUACCCGUUUUCUGCAGUGUGUGUCUUGGAACAACAAAGUUCUGUUAGUAUCAAGCAUACAGGUUUAUUUUGUAGAACUUCAUUUUUAUUUCAGUUAUUCUGUGUUUUAGUGUCCAGUUUUUUUUUUCGUUCCAUGGUUGUUACAUGUGAUAGAUAUUGAUGUGAGAGUAGGGUUGCUGGUUUUAGCUGAAUAGUUCAGCUCAAUACUGUUUUCUUACAUUAAUUAUUUCUGUAUGACAUGUACUCUUUCUGAAUUUACACGAUGCUGAUCAGAGGCUUGGUUUGGAGAAUUAUGCUAAUCUUUUCUCAUUUUUCUUCGUUUUUUCUACAACUAUUUGCCACACUACCCCAUCAUUCUACUGUUUUCUAAUAUUUAUGUUUUUGACAUAUAAUUUGACAAGUUUACUCAAUUCUGAAGAAAGUGCGACAGCUUUGUGGGGUUUUCUUGUAGCCAUGAUCUAAACGUCUUGAUAAACUGGACAAGAGUAGAGAAUGGUUCCAGAUAGAUUAAUAAAGUUCCUUCAAUGAAUCGUUCUUAUUUCUUUUAAUUUCUGGGAUUCGAUUGCAAGACAUAAAUUGAAUUUUGUACAUGUUUAUCUGCAGUGUGAAAAAUUGAGACAACUUUGUGGGGUUCUCUUUGUAACUAUGAUUUCAGAGAUCAGCGGCUUGGUUUGAAGAAAUCUUUUUGUUGUUUUUUUUUUCCUACAACUAUUUGCUGCGGCGUAUUAUUUCUGCACAUGUAUCUUCUGUGGUGUUCGCAGGGUCUGUGGUAUACAUGGGUUUGGUGUGCAACAGAGGCCUCCUUUCUCAAUCACACUACACCUUGUUAAUUUUUCUGUCUAAAGUGGAGACAUUACUUUGUUCGGGGAGGUUUACACUAUAAUUGUCUUUCACUGUAUUGUUGUCUUGACUCUUGAUUAUUUUUCAUUCCCGAUGAUACUUCUCAAAAGAUAUACUCUUCGUUACAGUGGCCCAGGGACUUCUCUGUAUUAGGAGGAAGCUGAAAUUGUCUCUUCAUAUGGGUACACAACGAUCUUGCAAAUUUGAUGAAAUUUGUUUCAAUGAAUCAUCAUAUUCUGCCAGCUGUCGUAUACUCACUGGCAUUCCAAGGCUAUAAUUUGGUCAUUUCUAUUUGAGAAUCUGUUACAUUCAGUCUUUGUUGGAGAAUAAUAAAUUAAUAAUCAACAUCUACUUUUCUCAGCUCCUUUAAGUUUUUUGUGUGGUUGUUACAGGGGAGAUGGCCUNNNNNNNNNNNNNNNNNNNNNNNNNNNNNNNNNNNNNNNNNNNNNNNNNNNNNNNNNNNNNNNNNNNNNNNNNNNNNNNNNNNNNNNNNNNNNNNNNNNNNNNAGGGGAGAUGGCCUAUAAAUGUGUGGCAGGUAGAGAGUACCCAGCAAUGAAAUAAAACUGGUCAUCCCUCUUACUUUCUGUUCAUCCCUGGGAUAAAACUGGUCAUGCCUCUUAACUUUUCCGUUCAGCCUUGAAUAAAUAAAACUGGUCAUUUUAUACUUACAUGUGUUUUGUGUUGGGAUUUGGGAUAAUGGUCCUAUAAAGGUGUUCCCUGCUAGUUUUGCAUCAGGAAUGUGAGUAUGAAGCUAUGUUGCCAAGGUACGGGUACGGUACCCGAUACAGGUGCGGGUACUGGUACGGGAUACAACAUUUUGAAAAGAUUUAAGAUACGGGUACGUUAAUACAAAAUAUCAAAAUAAUUAUAUUUUGAGUGAAUUUGUCCACCACCUCAACUAUUUUCAUCAAAAGCAAGAUAAAUAAUUAAUAUGUAAUAAAAAAUUAAAACAUUUUAUGCUAUUUUUAAACCAUCUGCACAUUUUUGCCGUAUCCACCACCCCGAAUCAAUCAAAUAACAAUGGAUUUUGAUUUGUAAGUACCCAGCGAGUACCAUGCAAGUAUCCGGUACUGGUGCGUACCCGGUACGGGUACUUCACCAUUUUAGGAGUACCCAUACUAUGAAGAUUCGGUAUUUUACCAUUUUAGGAGUAUCCAUACCGGUACAGGUACUUCACCAUUUUAGGAGUACCCAUACUAUGCAAGUAUCCGGUAUGAUACAAGAUUCUGAGCCUUUUGAAUUUAACGGGUAUUGUUUCUUCCUUGAAUGUAGAUGUCCAUCUCUUUCUUAGAUAAUCAAGAUAUACACGUUUGUUUUGCAGUAAGCUGAGGCUUAGACAUCUAGAAUGUUGGGAUGCUUCAUAGAAUGGAUAAGAAAGGAGGGUCAAGUUAAAUCCAAUUACUUCAACAUGGUGUUUUUCAGUUUUGGGCUUUGUGAUCAAGACAUUCACAAAUUGAAUUGCGAAUCUUUUUCUUUUCAGUAUAUCAAUUAUGAGUUCAUAUAUAUUUAAGUAGUUAUUUUCCUCUUUGGUGUUGCAGGAGAGGUAAUCUACAAACACGCAAUCCCUUAUGGUUCUGUCUUCCUCUUUUUGAUCUUCAAGUUUUGUAUUCUCACUUUUGUAUUGUCACUUUUUUCAAAAAAUAAAAGUUGUGUAUUCUCACUUUUGUAUUCUCACUUUUUUCAGAAUUUCUUGAAUGAACAUUCUUUUUAAAUUUUUAUUUCUUGGCUUUGAUGCAUAAUAAGUGAAUUGAACAAAUUUUUAUGAGAGCAAAUUUUUUUUUUAUUUGCUAUUCAGUGCUGUAGAAAUUUUAUGAUUCUAAAGGUUUUGUUUGUUCUGGUUUCCUCUGUGAUGACAUAAUUUAAUGGUUUGUUGCUCGGGAUCUAUGUUGACAUCCUUCUCUCAGAUCUGUUAUCACAUUUCUCUUGACUCUUAUUUUACGGAUAUCUUUCCAUUAAUUCUUCAUUUGGUAAUCCAGAUAUCCUUUAUCCUUUUUUGCAGCGAGCUGAAAGUCUUUAUAUUUGAACUUCUUAAUACAAUGGACAAAAACUGAGAAUGGCUCCAGAUAGAUAAAUCAAAUUUCUUCCAAUGCGUUGUUCUUAUUGAUUUUAAUAUCUGGGAUUUGAUUUCAAAUAUAAAUUGAAUUUUGAACCUUUUUUCUUUCUUUUUUUUUCUUUUUCUGCAGAGUGAUUUGUCAAACUAAUAAAAUUCUUCGUAGCAUGGAGCCAGCUUUUUAUUUUGGUGAUGUUGAUUAAAUUUUGAUUUCAAACUUUCAAUUCAGAGAGCAUAUAUUUUGUGUACAUAGAUUUCUUGGUUUCUUCUGGUUCUAUUUAUCUUCUCUUGUUUGAUCUUCGUGAGUUUUUUUUAUUCUUUUGUUUCUUAUUUCGUCUUUUGAUUCUAAUGUUUGAUAUGUUUAUGGUUGUUUUCAAUGAUAAAGUUGUUGUUCAUAUUUUAAUUGUCUGAAUAUUGAGCAUACUGGAGUUCUCAUGUGAGUUUUUAAGUUUCCAAUGUUUUCUCAUAAAAUGAUAAUAAUUUGUGGAUUGGUACAUAUUAUCAUCCCGGGUUGAAUUUGAAUUCAAACAGGUAUCUGUUUUUUGCAGUGUGUCUUGGAACAGUAAUGUUGUGUGGUAUCAAGUAUACAGGUUUAUUUUGGCACACUCUUCAUUUCAUGGUGAACUGAUCAAAUCAUAUAGACUCUGAAUCAUUUUCAUUCAUUCUAUAUUUUAGUGUCCAGUCUUCUUGAUCUACUCUUUUAUGAUCUUUAAUUGAGAUUAGUUUAUUUGAUAUGCGAGGAGGGUUGGUGGUUAUAUCUGAAAGGUUUAUCCUUAGGUUUUAUUGCCCUAUCACAUGACUGUUUUCUUACAUUGAAGAUUUUGACAUGAAAUUUGACAGUGUAAAUUUUUUCACAAUUUUUAAAAAAUUGGAACAGCUUUGUGGGGCUCUCUCUCUGUAACUGCGAUCUGCAGAUUAAUGGUUUGGUUUGGAGAAUUAUGCUAAUCUUUUUCGUUAUAUUUUCUACAAUGUGUCACUACCCCAUCAUACUAUUGUUUUCUUACAUUUUGGUUUAUGACAUGUAAUCUGACAGCCAAAGUUAACACAAUUGGGACAGCAUUGUGGGGUUCUUUUCUGUAACUAUGAUCUUUUUAUUAGUGGCUUGGUUUGGAGAAAUAUUUCUUUUUUUUCUUGAUAUUUCUACAAUUAUUUGUCGCUACGUGAUUUUUCUACACAUGUAUCAUCUGGUGUUCACAGGGUAUGUGUUACUAGGGUUUGUUGUGCAACUAAUCUCCUAUCUCAAUAACACUGCACCAGGUUAAUUUUGGUCUAUGAAGUGGAGAAAUAGGAGAUAAGUGCCUCUUCCCUUUGUACUACUAAUCUACUCUCAACCAAUUUACAUGUAUCAACCAGUUAUGUUGCGAAGCUUAAAGGAUAUCCUCUUCAUAACCGUGGCCCAAGGACUCCUCUGCUGGCUGUGUUGUAUACUAUCUACUGGUGCUAGGCUAUAAUUUGGUCAUCUCUACUGAGGCUCUUUACAAUUCAGUCUUUGUUUGAUAAUAAUCAGUAUCUACUUUCGUCAAUUUCUUUGAGUUUUCUGUGUGGGUUUGACAUGGGAUAUUUGUGGCAGGCAAAGAGCUGAACUAUGGUUAUUAUCAGAGAGAUGAAGAUUGGUUAUUAUUGGAGAAUGCGUUCAGAUAAUCCACAUUUUUUCAAUGAGUCAUUCUUUAUUUUAAAUUUUGUGCUUUGAGCACAUGAUAUAUUUCAAUGAGUCAUUCUUUAUUUUAAAUUUUGUGCUUUUUCUGCAGCUUGGUUUGUGAAAAUAAUGUCUUCUGUCAACACAUGGAGCCUCAAGUUUUGAUUUGCUGUUGCCCAGUAAAUUCGUUUUGUUUCAAUCUUUAUUGAUUUUUUUUUACAAGCAAUCUUUAUUGAUUUUGAAAGCAUAUAUUUCUUGAUUUAUGAUUUACUCUUCGGUGCUGUUGGAAUUUUAUCCUCCUAAAGGUUUCUUUUGGUUUGCUCCGUGAUGUCAGUGUUUGCGGUUCUACUUUCUUUGAUCUGCUUCAAUAAUCUAGAUUGCUAGGGAUUGACAUAGUAACAUGAGUUUUUCCAGAUCUGUUGUCACACUUCGAAUGACUCUUACUUUACGAAUAGAUAAUCAAAUUACUUCUACAUGUUCUUUUCAGUUGGAGGGUCAAGAUAAAUCCAAUUACUUCAACAUGGUGUUCUUUUCAGUUUUGGGCUUUGUGAUUAAAACAUAUACAAAUUGAUUUGCAAAUCUUUUUUCCUUCAGUAUAUCGAUUCUGAGUUCAUAUAUAUUUUGGAGUAGUUAUUUUCCUCUUUGGUGUUGCAGGAGAGGUUAUCUACGAACACGCAAUCCCUUAUGAAUUGCUGUUUUCAAAUUACUGCUACAUGUUCUUUUCAGUUGGAGGGUCAAGAUAAAUCCAAUUACUUCAACAUGGUGUUCUUUUCAGUUUUGGGCUUUGUGAUUAAGACACAUACAAAUUGAAUUGCGGAUCUUUUUUCCUUCAGUAUAUCGAUUCUGAGUUCAUAUAUAUUUUUGAGUAGUUAUUUUCCUCUUUGGUGUUGCAGGAGAGGUUAUCUACGAGCACGUAAUCCCUUAUGGUUCUGUCUUCCUCUUGUUUGAUCUUCAAGUUUUGUAUUCUCAGUUAUGUAUCUUUUUGUUGAGGUUUGAUUUGGUUCUUGCUGGUUUGAUCUCGGAGGUUGUUGUUCUUAUUUUAAUGACCUACUGCUAUUAACGAAUCAAUUUUCUUCAAUGAGUUGUUUUUAUUUUUUGUUGGCUUUGACGCAAUUACACUUCUCGACUCUUCUUUUAAAUCGGUUAUCAAGAAUUAUUUGUUCAAAUUUUGUAUAUAAUUCUUCAUAAUUGUUUAAUCGAGAUACACUUUUUUAUCCAUUUUGCAGUGAGCUGAGAAGUCUUCUAUUCUAGCAACAUGAGAACGGAGGAUGACACCGAUAGAUAAAUCAGUUUUUUCAUUGGGUUCUUCAUUUUUAUUUCUUAGCUCGAGAUAUAUGAAUUGAAGUAUGAACUUGUUUUCUCUGCAGCAUGAUUUGUCAAAUUAAUAAAAUUCUACAUACCAUGGAGCCUAUUAUUUUUGAUUUGGUGAUAUCUAUUAAAUUCUUUUCUGUUUUAAAAUUUCUUCAUCCACUCUGAGAGUAUAAUAUAUGUUGAUUUGUUAUUUACAUGAUUAUCACCCCAGGUUGAAUUGUGAAUUGAAACUGUCUGUUUUCUGCCGUGUAGUUUGUUUUGAAGCUAUAACUUGCUUAUGUAGUAUCUAGAAAUCGGGUUCAUUUUGGCAUAAUCUUCUUGAUUGGGAAUCAUUUUACUCCUUUACACCUUAGGUUUUCUUACAUAUAGGUUUUUGACACUAAAAUCAGACAGAAAUUAUCCACGAUUCUGGACAUAUGAUGUUCACAGGUAAUGAGUUAGGUGUGCAAUAGAAGCCUCGUUUCUCAAUCACAUUGCACCUUGUUAAUUUUUGUCUAUAGUGGGGAAAUUGGAUAUAAGUGCCUUUGCCCCUUCUGGACUUGUUCUUUUCGGUUUAGUCUUUCUUUGUUGUUCUGAGAGCAAAUAUUUAUUUUUGAUUUACUAGUUGGUGCUGUAUGAAUUUUAUGAUUCUGAAGGUUUUGUUUGUUAUGGUUUCCUCCGUGAUGACUUAAUUUAAGGGUUUGCUGUUCCUUUUUUCAUUGAUCUGCUUCUAUAGACUAUAUUGUUCAGGAUCUAUGUUGACAUUCUUUUCUCAGAUCUGUUAUCACAUUUCUAUUGACGCUUAAUUUACGGAUAGGUUUCCAAGAAUUCUUCAUUUGAUUAUCCUUACAUCCUUUAUCCUUUUUUGGUCAUCUCUACUGAGGCUCUUUACAUUUCAGUCUUUGUUUGAUAAUCAGUAUCUACUUUUGUCAAUUUCUUUGAGUUUGUUGUGUGGGUUUGACACGGAAUAUUUGUGGCAGGCAGAGAGCUGAACUAUGGUUAUUAUCAGAGAAAUGAAGAUUGGUUAUUAUUGGAGAAAGCGUUCAGAUGAUCCACAUUUUUUCAAUGAGUCAUUCUUUGUUUUAAAUUUUGUGCUAUGAGUACAUGACAUAUAAAUUGAACUUGAGCUUUCAUUUUUUUGACCAAUGAAUAUGCUUUUUCUGCAGCUUGGUUUGUCAAAAUAAUAACUUCUGUCAAUGCAUGAAGUCUCAACUUGUGAUUUGUUGUUGCCUAGUAAGUUCUUUUUGUUUCAAUCUUUAUUGAUUUUUUUUUUUUACAAUCUUUAUUGAUUUUGAGAGCAUAUAUUUCUUGACUUAUGAUUUACUCUUUGGUGCUGCUGGAAUUUUAUCCUCCUAAAGGUUUCUUUUGGUUUGCUCCUUGAUGGAUUAACUUCUUUUGGUUCUACUUUUCUUUGAUCUGCUUCUAUAAUCUAGAUUGCUAGGGAUUUACAUAGUAACAUGAGUUUCUCAGAUCUGUUAUCACACUUCAAAUGACUCUUACUUUAUGAAUAGGUUAUCAUGAAUUAUUUGUAUGAUUUUUAUAAUUCAUCAUUUGAUAAUAGAGAGAUCAUUUAUCCUUUUUGCAGCGAGAUAUACUUUCCUCUUUCCAGCUAGCUAAGAGAUCCUGAUACAAUGAACAAGAAUGGAGAAUGGCUCCACAUAGAUAUAUCAAUUUUUUUAAAUGAGUCGUAAUAUUUAUUUUAAUUUGUUGGAUUUGGUUGCAACACAUACAAAUUGACUUUUAAACAUAUUGUUUUUCUGCAGUGUGGUUUGUCAAACUAAUAACCUUCUUCAUAGCAUGGUGCAUAGCAUUGUGAUUUGGUGAUAUCUAUUAAAUUCUUUUCAUUUUCAAAAUUUCAAGUAGUUUGUGAACAUAUAAUUUCUUGAUUUCUUCAUUUGAUAAUAGAGAGAUCCUUUAUCCUUUUUGCAGCGAGAUAUACUUUCCUCUUUCCAGCUAGCUGAGAGAUCUUGAUACAAUGAACAAGAAUGGAGAAUGGCUCCACAUAGAUAUAUCAAAUUUUUUAAAUGAGUCGUAUUAUUUAUUUUAAUUUUUGGGAUUUGGUUGCAACACAUACAAAUUGACUUUUAAACAUAUUGUUUUUCUGCAGUGUGGUUUGUCAAACUAAUAACCUUCUUCAUAGCAUGGAGCAUAGCAUUGUGAUUUGGUGAUAUCUAUUAAAUUCUUUUCAUUUUCAAAAUUUCAAGUAGUUUGUGAACAUAUAAAUUCUUGAUUUCUUCCUGUUAUAUUUAUCUUCCUCUUUUUAUAUUUUAAUGAUCUGAUUAUUUUGUUAGGGUUUCAAUUGUUUUUCUUCUAAUUCCUCUUUUGCGACAAAUUUUAUUCUUCGUUUCAUUGUGUACAUUCCUAGUCUUUUGCGAUUAACUUCUUCGUUUCACUACUGUUUUCUUACAUUAAUGUUUAUGUAUGACAUGUAAUCUGACAGUGAGGUUUUACACGAUUCUGGAAAAGUUGGGACAACUUUGUCAGGCUCUCUUUGUGAUCUGCUGAUCAGAGGGCUAGGUUUGGAGAAUUAUGCUAAUCUUUCCUCUUUUUUCUUCGUUUUUUCAACAACUAUUUGCCACACUACCCCAUCAUUCUACUGUUUUCUGAUAUUUAGGUUUUUGACAUAUAAUCUGACAUUGAAAGUUUGCUCGAUUCUGGAAAAGUGCAACACUUUUGUGGGGUUUUCUUGUAGCCAUCAUCUAAACGACUUGAUACAAUGGACAAAAAUGGAGCACGGUUCUAGAUAGAUAAAUAAAAUUCCUUCAAUGAAUCGUUCUUAUUUAUUUUAAUUUCUGGGAUUCGAUUGCAAGUCAUAAAUUGAAUUGUGUAAAUGUUUUUCUGCAGUGUGAAAAAUUUGGGACAACUUUGUAACUGUGAUUUCAGAGAUGAGCGGCAUGGUUUGAAGAAAUAUUUUUGUUGUUUUUUAUUUUUUUUCUACAACUAUUUGUUGCGGCAUAAUAUUUCUGCACAUGUAUCAUCUGUGGUAUUCGCAGGGUCUGUAGAAUGCAUGGGUUUGGUGUGCAACAGAGGUCUCGAGAUUUUUUUCUACAACAUUCUUUUUUAAUUUUUAUGCCUUCGCUUUGAUGCAUUAUAAGUGAACUGAACUUUGAACGUGUUUUCUGCAGCUUGGUUUGUCAAAAUAAUAACUUUCUUCAUAGUAUGGAUUCUCGAGAUUUGGUUUGGCGAUCUUUAGUAAAAACAUUUGUUUCAAUCUUUCAUUAUUAAUUCUUAUAUCAUAUAUAUGUCUUGAUUUGGUACUUACUCUUGGGUUCUGCACGAGAAGAUGUGAUUUUAAUUUUUCGAUUCUAAAAUUUGCUUGUUCUUGUGUUCAAUUUUCUUUUCUUUCUUGAUUUCUUGAUCUGUUUGCCAGUUGUUUUUUUCCAUGAUUGCUUAAUUUCAGGGUUCCUGUAAUCGAGAAUAGGAGAUUGUUAGUGAUAUGCUUUUCUCAUAUUGUAGAUAUCGAGAAAUUCACCCAAUCACACUUCUCUUGACUCUUUUAAAUUGGUUAUCAAGAAUGAUUUGUCUAAAUUUUGUAUAUAAUUCUUCAUAAUUGGAUAAUUGAGAUGCACUUUUUAUCCAUUUUGCAGUGAGUUGAGAACUCUUGUAUUCGUAUGUGUUGUUCUUUCCGUUUAUUCAUUUUUUCCAUUGAGUUGUUCGUCAUUUUUAUUUCUUGGCCCGACAUAUAUGAAUUGAAGUUUGAACAAGUUUUCUAUGCAGUGUGAUUUGUCAAAUUAAUAAAAUUGUACAUAGCAUGGAGCCUAUCAUUUUUGAUUUGGUGAUAUCUAUUAAAUUCUUUUCUGUUUUAAAAUUUCUUCAUCUACUCUGAGAGUAUAUAUAUGUUGAUUUGUUAUUUACUCUUUAGUGUUUCAGGAGUAGUCAGUGAACAUAUGUUAAAUUCUUUUUGAUUUGGUGAUAUCUAUUAAAUUCUUUUCUGUUUUAAAAUUUCUUCAUCUACUCUGAGAGUAUAUAUAUGUUGAUUUGUUAUUUACUCUUUAGUGUUUCAGGAGUAGUCAGUGAACAUAUGAUUUCUUCAGGUUCUAUAUCUUCCUCUUCUGUGAUUUUCAUGUGUUGCGUUCUUAUUCUUUUUUUUGUUGAUUAUUUUGUUCUCUUAAUCUAAAGUUUGAUUUGUUUAUUGUUGGUUCCAAGCAUUUAAUUUGUUGGCAAAAUACUGGAGUUCUCAUGUGAAUUUUCUGUUUUAAUGUGUUUCCAAUUGAGUAUCAGAUAAUGGUAAUGUUUUGCGAAAUUAUGAUUAUCACCCCAGGUUGAAUUGUGAAUUGANNNNNNNNNNNNNNNNNNNNNNNNNNNNNNNNNNNNNNNNNNCGAAGCUAUACCUUGCUAUGUAGUAUCAAGCAAUCAGGUUCAUUUUGGCACAAUUCAUUUCAUGGUGAACUGAUCAAAGCAUAUAGACUCUGAAUCAUUUUCAUCUCAUUUAUUCUAUAUUUUAUUGUCCAGUCUUCUUAAUCCACUCUUUUUAUGAUAUUUAAUUACGAUUAGUUUUUUUUAUAUGCGUGGAGGGUUGGUGGUUAUAUUUGAUAAGUUCAUCCUUAGGUUUUGUUACCCCCAUCACACAACUGUUUUCUUACAUUGAAGUUUUUGACAUGUAAUCUGACAGUGCAAAUUUUUUAAUAAUUCUGGAAAAAUUGGAACAUCUUUGUGGGGCUCUCUCUUUGUAACUGUGAUCGGCUGAUCAGUGGCUUGGUUUGGAGAAUUAUGCUAAUCAUUUUCUUGAUUUUUUCUACAACUGUGUCACACUACCCCAUCAUACUACUGGUUUCUUUCAUUUUGGUUGAUGACAUGUAAUCUGACAGUGGAAGUUUACACAAUUCUGGUAAAGUUGGGACAGCAUUAUGGGGUUCUCUUUGUAACUAUGAUCGUUUUAUCAGUGGCUUGGUUUGGAGAAAUAUUUAUUGUUUUUCUUGAUAUUUCUACAAUUAUUUGUCGCGACGUAAUUUUUCUACACAUGUAUCAUCUGGUGUUCACAGGGUAUGUNNNNNNNNNNNNNNNNNNNNNNNNNNNNNNNNGUUACAUGAGAUUGGUGUGCAAAAGAAAUCUCCUUUCUCAAUAACAACACUGCACCUAGUUAAUUUUGGCCUAUGAAGUGGAGAAAUAGGAGAUAAGUGCCUCCUCCCUUUGAACAAUUUACAUGUAUCAACCAGUUAUGUUUCUAGGCUUAAAGGAUAUCCUCUUCAUAACAGUGGCCUGAGGACUUCUCUUUAUUAGGAGGAAUCUGAAAUUGUCUGUUCAUAUGGAAACACAACGAUCUUGAAAUUGGAUGCAAAUUUGUUUUCAUGAAUCAUCAUCUCUACAGUCUGUGUCGUAUACUCUCUACUGUUGCUAGGCUAUGAUUUGGUCAUCUCUACUGAGGCUCUUUACAUUUCAGUAGUUGUUUGAUAAUCGGUAUCUACUUUUGUGAAUUUUUUUUAGUCUGCUGUGUGGGUUUGACAUGGGAUAUUUGUGGCAGGCAGGGAGCUUAAGUAUGGUUAUUAUCAAAGAGAUGAAGAUUGGUUAUUAUAGGAGAAUGAGAAGAUUGGUUAUUAUUUAAGAAUGAAUUCAGAUAAAUUUUGUCCUUUGAGUACAUGACAUAUAAAUUGAACUUGAGCUUACUUUUUUUUACCAAUGAAUAUGCUUUUUCUGCAGCUUGGUUUGUCAAAAUAAUAACUUCUGUCAACGCAUGGAGCCUCCAGUUUUGAUUUGCUGUUGUCUAGUAAAUUCUUUUUGUUUC
rnacentral:lncRNA from 1 species